rfam:Schistosoma margrebowiei strain Zambia genome assembly, scaffold: SMRZ_contig0003425
GCACUGCUGAGAAGUUCCACAACAGGACGAAACGGCUGUCCAGUGC